ensembl:lncRNA
AUGGAUGUCCAGUUGUCCAUCAGCUUCCUGAAGGACAGACUGGGUGGGGCCAUUGAGGAGGCAGUGCGUACAGCAGUGGAGUCUGUGCUGUGUGAGACUGUGCGUCUGUUAACCGGGCUCCAAGGGGACCAGCAGCAGGGACUCUCCUCAUUGACCCAGAGGGACCAGGACACCCUGGGACUGAAGCAGAGGUUAGAGGCCCCCAGUGGGGGUGACUGGAGGGUGCAGGCUGGGUCUUCAGAGGCAUUCUGUAACACAGGACCGAGGGGGGGUGGUGGGCGUGGCAACAUUAAGAAUCCAAUGGGUCAGACCACUUGCUCAACCUCUCAAGCAUCACAAAGGACCACCGUGGAGCCCCAUCCCCAGGAGGUGGUAGAGGACUGCGCUGGACUGCCUGACCCAUUUGACCUUGUGUCGGCUGGGCCAGUGAUGGUGGACUUUGAGGAGGGUCAGGGCAUGGGGAUCCCAGAGGAGUGGGAGCUGAUGAACAGAGUGUACAAGACGGAGCACAAUGAAGACAUGGCCCUUAUUGACGAGGGCGGUGCCACUCACUUUGCAGAUGACCACAGGCUGCAUGAAGGAGACCUGAGGACUGUGGCUGUGUCCCUGGAGGGAGAGAUGGCUGCCAAGCCCCAGGAUGCAUUGCACCCCUGCUUCAGCCCAGCCAACAUCAAAACAGAGCGGCCUGAUAUGGAGAGAUGCUGCAUGGCUGAAGAGGCCCUUGCUCUGCCUCUGCCUCAUCCUGCCAAUAGUGGUGUGGAGGCCGGUGAGUUUGGGCAGGAGCAGGUGGAGGCUGGUCCACAGGACUUUGUAGGUCGCCUGCGCCUGUGGCUGGAGCAGCUGUGUCCUGAGGUGGUGCGGGAGUACGAGAGGGAGGGCUGUCUGUGUGAGCUGUCCCGCAGAAAGCUCAUAAAGUUCUCUGUGUCCUUCAUCGUGGAGGAGUUUGGAUUCUACCCUACCUCUGCUCAGAAGACCAUGCUGGCAGAGCACAUAGUGGAACUCUUCCCAGGACUCAGACUCUGUGCACCCUCUGCUGGCAUCAAUGGCAUCGAACACUUGUACGACCCUUUGUCCCGUACGGGUUACAUUGAGACGCGCCUGCGCAACUCUCGACGCACCCUUGAAGACCACAAGAAGAAGUAUGUGCUGAAGAGGCGUCGGCCAGAGCCAGGUCUGUUGGACCCCGCUGGACCUCGAUCGGGACCUGGGCUCCUGGAGAGCCAGUCCAGUGAGGAGACGCAGAGGUGGGUGGAGCUGAUGAAGAAAACCAGGCCCCUGACCAGGAAUCUGCCUGCAAUCCACGGUGCUAUGGACCUCACAUUCAACGCACGCAGGAGGUGGAUCAGCAACACACGGCCUAGUAUGAGGGCUGUGUUGGCCGAGUACCCACGUUUUCUUGACGUACCCGCCACGAUUGACCUGGAGUUUGAGAGGAUGUUCCCAGGUAAAGGCCACUCUUUCCUGGCCCAGUGGUCGUCUUUCGUGUUGCCCAGGUUGUACCAGAUCGCAGAGUGCGAAAAACACCCAGACAUCUCAGCACUUCUCCAACUGGCUGCCACACAGCAAGGAGACUCCUACACCCUGACUAUGCUGAAGAUCCUGAUCUAUGUACUACCACCAACAAACACCAGUAGAGCCUCCUUACCCUCCAGGAGCAGUGUCAGGCAGGCCAUUCGGUAUCUGGUGGACAUUGUACCGAUGGACACCGAGGUGUCCUCCUUAUUCUGUGACCCUACCUCCUUGGAGGGCCCAGAGUCUGCCUCCCAUGCUCAGCCCUACAUAGUGAGCGUGGGGCCCCUGGAGGCCCCUGGCCGGCAGCUUUGCAUCGUGUUCCCCGUUGAUAGGAUGGCAAUCCCCCUGCCUCAGGAGGGGCUGAGCAAUGCACUGGACAAGCUUUUCAAGCUUCUGCGUGUGUUUGAACAGGGGUACCCAGAUCAGCUAGCCUCCCUGUAUAGCUUCCUUGAGCACCUCUAUGGGCUGGAGAUGACCCCACGAGAUAACCAUGACUCCCCCAGUGGCAAGGGAUCAAAAGUGCUUGAACUUUUAUCACGGCUCCACAUGCCCUCCUGA